rnacentral:rRNA from 1 species
UGGUGGGGUGACUUGUCUGCUUAAUUGCGAUAACGAACGAGACCUUAACCUGCUAAAUAGCCCGCAUUGCUCCGGCAGUGCGCUGGCUUCUUAGAGGGACUUUCGGCUCAAGCCGAAGGAAGUUUGAGGCAAUAACG